UACAAAUGGUUGUGAUCCUCCAACUGUGUACCUCUAACUCUAAACCAUUGGAUAUCACCAUCCCCUCAUGUCCUUCUACCCACGCAUUUCUGUGUCUUACAUGGGGAGGUAUGAGUUAGCUAGCCAGACCAAGAAACCUGGUUCAGAGCUAGCCUCUUUAUAUACAUGUCGUCGUGUGUGCUAACAGUAGUACUGAUAUGCAUCUCUUGUCCUUGCAGAGAACAAAUUAGCUUGUGAAAGCGUGACCCUAUAUACCCAUUGGAGAUGAAGCCAAUUUAUUGUGUAGGGGGUAUUUACCGUAUUUUUUUGUCUCAGUGUGUUGUGAUUCGUGUCCCAACGACAGUGCUGGCUGCUUGACAGAAGUGAUUGACCAAUGGAUGAAGGGUUGGUCUGGACGACCAACAUGGAGUGAGCUGGCCAAUCUCGUCUCAGUAACAUAGGAGAGGAGCAAGUACAUGUAGCAAAGGAACUUGUGACCAGCUACGAGUCUGGGGCAUGUGGCAGGGGUGCACGACUCUAGGAGGAUCUUCUGAGAGGAGAGUGUGCUAUAUAAAAUAUCUCCUUGGGCAGUUCCAGCAGUGGAUUGCAGCUACAUCUGUUAUAGAGUGUACACAGACCAGUGAGGAGGACCUUGCACCUCAAGCACACCAGUGAGUUUCUCCAUAGAAUCAGAUUGCUCGUAGCACCAGUCGUAUGCUGAUGGAGGUGGCAAGAGAAUUUCAAGAAAAUGGCUGCCCAGGUCACCCAGAUUGAGAACGACAAAGAUCGAGAGAAGACUCACCGAUAAGAGAGAGUACAUGUAAGUCAAUAUACAGUACCCCCUUAGAUUAUAGGCACGUAGUUCACAUUUAAAGGUCGUCAGUUGAAUCCGAAGGUCGGGUGGAGAUGCUGGCGUGAUAAUAUCGGUUUACGCGGGCACAGUCUUUGUGGCUUAACCUGUUGACCCAUACUUGCAUUUUUUUUGUCAUCUUGUUGUGGGGGCUGGCUAUGCGUUUAGGCCACUCUUUUUAUUUGUUGAACACACAAUCAGCAUGAGCUUGCCGUCACACAAACACGAAGUUUAACCCCACUCUCUUUUGAGUAGCCCCACAAAAUUAGCGCCACUGUUUUUAACUUGUCGCCACACAAAUACAAAAUUUAGCCCCCCUAUUCUUAGCAUACUUUUAGAACAAAUAGUAUGCCAUACAAUGGAGGAUUUCAAGUUGGUGGCAGAAGUUAAAAGUUGAAGUGCACUCAGCCAUGACCCCUCCCCCCCACACACACACAUGUACACACACACCGUGCACUGUGCACAGGAGGAUAGUCAGGGUCAAUUAAAAGGAUUCCUGAUAACUUAUUUGCAUUCCGCUCUCUCUUUCUUACCUCUAACCACUAGUGAGGGGGUUGGAGAUAAUUAAGUCCGCUGGAAGCAGAUUUGAAUUGACCUUGAAUAUCCUCAUUUGCGCGCACACACACACACACACACACACACACACUACUGACAAACAUUUGGUUCAUAUUAGCUCAGCCAACAAGUCACAAGUAAGUAUCCUUUGUCUUCGACUUAAUUCGUGGAUUUGCAAAAUAAUGUUCACAGUUUUGCUUACUUGGAAUGUCAUUGCAGCCUUUUCAGAAGAGCACGUUUGUUUACGGAGUGUCAAUUGGUUGAUCGUUACCCAUUCUUUGAGUUUGCAUGCGCAGUAAAAUGUAUGUUGUCAUGUAAAUUUAAAAAAGCUAUUAGUUGCUUUAUGUUAUAUGUACGUAGCUUUGGCAUCUCCACCGAGGCAUCAGCACCUGAGGUGCUAAGUAUACUUAGACAGAGGAGGUUGGCCACGCGUCAUCAAUUUUGUGACGUAUGUGAUGUCUCUGCUCAGGUUACCAUGGAUACCGAGCAACUGUAAAAAGAAUGUAUGGCUACUGUUACUUUGCUAGCUUAUAACUGUUGUCUAGUUGGACCAGGAUUAGCUAGACUAUAGGGUAGAGUAUAGCUCAGCGGUGCUGCAUGUAGCUUGUACUGUACUGGCUGACAAGAAUCUGGUAAACACUAUAUGCACUGAUAACUCGCCAGAAUAGAGGGGAUCGCUGCAUGGGGAUCGGGUUGGUUAAUGAUAGCCAGAGAGAUACAUAAAUGUUGCUUUCAGUCUCCAAUGACCGUGCAACACCAGCUAGAAGUUUACAUGGAAAACCCUUGUCAAUUUCUAUGCCAGCUCAGCAAAAAAAGUGGUGCACGUGAUCGUGUCCAACCUCCUCUGAUGCUUAGAUCAUGUUUGUCAUAAAUACUGCAAUUUGAUUGGCUAAAGGAAUUAAGUGUUCUAUCCAACUUAGAAAAUCAUGUAUAUACUUCACUUAGAAAAUCAUGUAGAGAUAAGAACAUUCAAAUCUGAUUGGCUAAAAUUUAAUACCCAUGGUUGCUAUGAUCUAAAAUGCUUAGACACUGUUUAGGAAGUUUCCACGUGAUUUAGAAGUCCUCAGGGCACUGCGUUCGAGAUACUACGACCAGCCCUUUGGGCUUCUAAAUCAUGCAGAAACUUC